UGUUUGUGUGUGUGUAAGUGGGAUCAAGGAUCUGGUGCGAGUUCACGACUGUUACGGGUUUGACUGCCGUUCCAGGGCACUCUUACAGGUAGAAGGUUGUGAAAACACGAGUUACGGGUUGACUGGAACGCAGCCU